rnacentral:rRNA from 1 species
UACGGGGGGGGCGAGCGUUGUUCGGAAUUACUGGGCGUAAAGGGUUUGUAGGUGGCCUGCUAAGUCAGACGUGAAAUCCCUCAGCUUAACUGGGGAACUGCGUCUGAUACUGGCGGGCUUGAGGACAGGAGAGGAACGCGGAAUUCCAGGUGUAGCGGUGAAAUGCGUAGAUAUCUGGAGGAACACCGGUGGCGAAGGCGGCGUUCUGGACUGUUUCUGACACUGAAAAACGAAAGCCAGGGGAGCAAACAGG